UUUGGUCGCCAACGAGUGGCGGACGGGUGAGUAACACGUAGGUAACCUGCCCAGAAGCGGGGGACAACAUUUGGAAACAGAUGCUAAUACCGCAUAACAGCGUUGUUCGCAUGAACAACGCUUAAAAGAUGGCUUCUCGCUAUCACUUCUGGAUGGACCUGCGGUGCAUUAGCUUGUUGGUGGGGUAACGGCCUACCAAGGCGAUGAUGCAUAGCCGAGUUGAGAGACUGAUCGGCCACAAUGGGACUGAGACACGGCCCAUACUCCUACGGGAGGCAGCAGUAGGGAAUCUUCCACAAUGGGCGCAAGCCUGAUGGAGCAACACCGCGUGAGUGAAGAAGGGUUUCGGCUCGUAAAGCUCUGUUGUUAAAGAAGAACACGUAUGAGAGUAACUGUUCAUACGUUGACGGUAUUUAACCAGAAAGUCACGGCUAACUACGUGCCAGCAGCCGCGGUAAUACGUAGGUGGCAAGCGUUAUCCGGAUUUAUUGGGCGUAAAGAGAGUGCAGGCGGUUUUCUAAGUCUGAUGUGAAAGCCUUCGGCUUAACCGGAGAAGUGCAUCGGAAACUGGAUAACUUGAGUGCAGAAGAGGGUAGUGGAACUCCAUGUGUAGCGGUGGAAUGCGUAGAUAUAUGGAAGAACACCAGUGGCGAAGGCGGCUACCUGGUCUGCAACUGACGCUGAGACUCGAAAGCAUGGGUAGCGAACAGGAUUAGAUACCCUGGUAGUCCAUGCCGUAAACGAUGAGUGCUAGGUGUUGGAGGGUUUCCGCCCUUCAGUGCCGGAGCUAACGCAUUAAGCACUCCGCCUGGGGAGUACGACCGCAAGGUUGAAACUCAAAGGAAUUGACGGGGGCCCGACCAAGCGGUGGAGCAUGUGGUUUAAUUCGAAGCUACGCGAAGAACCUUACCAGGUCUUGACAUCUUGCGCCAACCCUAGAGAUAGGGCGUUUCCUUCGGGAACGCAAUGACAGGUGGUGCAUGGUCGUCGUCAGCUCGUGUCGUGAGAUGUUGGGUUAAGUCCCGCAACGAGCGCAACCCUUGUUACUAGUUGCCAGCAUUAAGUUGGGCACUCUAGUGAGACUGCCGGUGACAAACCGGAGGAAGGUGGGGACGACGUCAGAUCAUCAUGCCCCUUAUGACCUGGGCUACACACGUGCUACAAUGGACGGUACAACGAGUCGCGAACUCGCGAGGGCAAGCAAAUCUCUUAAAACCGUUCUCAGUUCGGACUGCAGGCUGCAACUCGCCUGCACGAAGUCGGAAUCGCUAGUAAUCGCGGAUCAGCAUGCCGCGGUGAAUACGUUCCCGGGCCUUGUACACACCGCCCGUCACACCAUGAGAGUUUGUAACACCCAAAG
rnacentral:rRNA from 1 species